UAUUCUCAAUAGUGAUACGACUUCAAGUAUGACUAUGGCAAUAAAAACCUCUUUGAGCCCAAAUCAGACUAUCUAUAUCAAAAUUCAUGGUGAAAAAGAAGGGGGUUAAAAAUUGCUGCAAGUUGAAUGAAUAUCCAGAUUGGUGGGAUAGCUUAAACGAAAAGAAGUCUCGUGAUCGACGAAAAAGCUGCUGUAGUGAUAUCACCUUCCUCUCAUUAAUCAACUGCAGUAAUACCAACCUUGGUAUCAACUCCACCAAAUGACAUUUCCAAUGGUUCUAGUUCUUCAGGCACACGAUAUUAUUGACACCGUCUUUGUGUUUGAAAAACACACUACUUGUACCCUCACUUUUUAAUAAUCUUUUGUCUGUACCUCAAAUAAUUACUAAACAACUAAAUUGUCUAGUAUUAAUGUGGUCCGGUCCUCCCCGAACGCCACUCAUAGCGGGAGCUUAGUGCACCGGACUGCUUUUUUUUGGGGGUGGAUCUACGAUUUUAAUUAUCUUCUUUAGGAUAUCAAUAACAAGGAGAUUAUUGGGCGUGGUACUAAGAGAAAAGGGCUUUAUUAUGAGGAUGAUGUGUGCUCUAGUAGUGCAUUACUUAAUCAAGGCUCUCAUGUCCUAAGAAACAUCAGAUUUGGAUGUGGCAUCAAAGAUUGGGUCAUGUUUCAUUUGGUUACAUUAAGCAUUUGUUUCCAACAUUAUUGUCCGAUUGUAAUCCUUUAGAUUUUAAGUGUGACAUUUGCGUCUUAGCAAAUAGUCAUCAUGCUUCUUACCCGUUGAGUUCUACUAAAAUAUCUUAACCAUUUUCUUCGAUUCAUUCUGAUGUAUGGGAUCCUACCCGUACCCUACUGUAUCUGGAUACUGUAAGUUUGUGAUUUUUGUCGAUAAUUGCAGUCGUAUGACUUGGUUAUAUUUAAUGAGAAAUAAGAGUGAUGUGUAUGUAUGCUUUCGUCAAUUUCAUUAGAUGAUACAAACUCAAUUCUCUACUAAUCUAAAAUUUGUAAGAUCAGAUAAUGGUGGAGAAUUUAUAGUGAAGCUAUUACAAUCUUAUUUUCAAGAUCAUGGUAUUAUUCAUGAGACAACCUGCUCUUUUACUCCUCAACAAAAUGGCGUGGCUGAAAAGAAAAGAUCGUCAUAUUCUUGAAAUUACACGUGCUUGUCUCUUGGUGCUAAUGUAGAAUCUUAUGCUUGAGAAGAUACUAUUUUAUCUGUUCUUGAUCUUAUGAACCGUGUACCUAGUAGUGGUCUUCAUUUCAAAACACUCUUGGAAAAACUUUCUGCCUUUUUUAAUGUCCCUUCUCAUCUAAAUUUGGCUCUUCGAGUUUUUGGCUGUGUUGCAUUUGUUCAACUCCAGAAAUACCAACGUACAAAACUAAAUCCUUGUGCUUUAAUGUGUGUGUUUUCUGGGUUUCUGUCACAUAAAAAAGGAUGAGACUUUCUCUGAAAAAGAAAUGCAGUUCUCUCCAAAGAUCUCCAAUACUUCUCUUCAGGUGGAGAGGACCGGUAAAGAGCAGAAUUGGAUGGUAGUACUACCAUAUAUGUUAGUGAAUGAUCAAAGUGCCCAUAGAAGAAUCAGAAGUAUCCUAUUGCUCAUUAUGUCUCGACUAUGCACUUACCUUGUACAAUUCAAGGUUUUGUUAAUCAUAUGUCAAAUGUUACCAUUCCUACAAGAGGCACUCAAUGAUCCUAUAUGGGUGAAAUCCAUGGCAGAGGAGAUUCAAGCAUUAGAAAGAAAUCAAGCCUGGAAUAUUGUGACUUUACCAGAGUGGAAGAAACCUGCUGAUUGUAAAUGUAUUUUCUCGAUAAAACAUAAACCUGAUGGUACAAUUGAUCGAUAUAAAGCAAGGUUAAUUGCUCGUGGCUUUACACAAACAUAUGGUGUUGAUUAUCAAGAGCCUUUGUACUUGUGCCAAAGUUAAAAAUACUGUUCGAUUCCAUUUAUCUAUUGCUGCAAACUUUGACUGGCCAUUGCAAUAAUAUGAUAUAAAAAAAAUACAUUUUUACAUGGGGAUUUAUCCGAAGAAAUCUACAUGAGUUUGCCCCAGAUUACAAUACUCCAGGUGAUACAAAUAUGGUGUGCAAGUUAAAAAAGGUAUUGUAUGGUAUGAAACAAUCUCCAAGAGCAUGAUUUGGGAUAUUUCAACUGGCAAUCCUCAUUAAGUUGUUAUUUGUUGAAAUAGCUGGUUGCAGCUUAAGUGUAUAAUGUAUAAACAAUCAAGAAACUGUAGGGCAGUACCUGAUUCACGUUAGAAGAAGCUGAUGCGACAAAAACUUUGUGCUCACUGCAUUUAGCCAGAAUUUUCUACAGUGGGACGAUUGACACUGGAGGCAUUAGGAUGGCAAAUGAGACACUUGCUCUGCUUCAACGUAUUUGUUCACCUAUAUCUUGCUAAAGUGAUUAACUUGAGAUAAUUUAUCCUUGUUAUGUUACCUUGGAUUUCAGUUGUUUGGUGCAGAAGAAACCAGUUAUAAGACUAAAUGAAGUU